UACGUAGGGGGCGAGCGUUGUCCGGAUUUAUUGGGCGUAAAGAGCGUGUAGGCGGCCAGGUAGGUCCGUUGUGAAAACUGGAGGCUUAACCUCCAGCUGUCGAUGGAAACCAUCUGGCUAGAGUCCGGAAGAGGAGAGUGGAAUUCCUGGUGUAGCGGUGAAAUGCGCAGAUAUCAGGAGGAACACCAGCGGCGAAGGCGGCGCUCUGGGCCGGUACUGACACUGAGGAGCGAAAGCGUGGGUAGCAAACAGG
rnacentral:rRNA from 1 species